rnacentral:tRNA from 1 species
GCCAAGCAGCGUUGCUGAUCGCCAGAUAUCGCAAGCUAAGAAACCCUCCGAUCCCUAAUCGGGCGGUUAGGGGUUCAAGUCCCCUCGCUGGCUCCA